GUCGAACGGUUAGCACAGGGGAGCUUGCUCCCCGGGGUGACGAGUGGCGGACGGGGUGAGUAAUGUCUGGGGAUCUGCCCGAUGGAGGGGGAUAACUACUGGAAACGGUAGCUAAUACCGCAUAACCUCGAAAGAGCAAAGUGGGGGACCUUCGGGCCUCACACCAUCGGAUGAACCCAGAUGGGAUUAGCUAGUAGGUGGGGUAACGGCUCACCUAGGCGACGAUCCCUAGCUGGUCUGAGAGAAUGACCAGCCACACUGGAACUGAGACACGGUCCAGACUCCUACGGGAGGCAGCAGUGGGGAAUAUUGCACAAUGGGCGCAAGCCUGAUGCAGCCAUGCCGCGUGUAUGAAGAAGGCCUUCGGGUUGUAAAGUACUUUCAGCGGGGAGGAAGGGAUGAAGGUUAAUAACCUUCGUCAUUGACGUUACCCGCAGAAGAAGCACCGGCUAACUCCGUGCCAGCAGCCGCGGUAAUACGGAGGGUGCAAGCGUUAAUCGGAAUUACUGGGCGUAAAGCGCACGCAGGCGGUUUGUUAAGUCGGAUGUGAAAUCCCCGGGCUCAACCUGGGAACUGCAUUUGAAACUGGCAAGCUUGAGUCUCGUAGAGGGGGGUAGAAUUCCAGGUGUAGCGGUGAAAUGCGUAGAGAUCUGGAGGAAUA
rnacentral:rRNA from 1 species